rnacentral:rRNA from 1 species
GACGAACGCUGGCGGCGUGCUUAACACAUGCAAGUCGAACGGAAAGGCCCUGCUUUUGUGGGGUGCUCGAGUGGCGAACGGGUGAGUAACACGUGAGUAACCUGCCCUUGACUUUGGGAUAACUUCAGGAAACUGGGGCUAAUACCGGAUAGGAGCUCCUGCUGCAUGGUGGGGGUUGGAAAGUUUCGGCGGUUGGGGAUGGACUCGCGGCUUAUCAGCUUGUUGGUGGGGUAGUGGCUUACCAAGGCAUUGACGGGUAGCCGGCCUGAGAGGGUGACCGGCCACAUUGGGCCUGCGGGACGGCGCAGACUCCUACGGGAGACAGCAGUGGGGAAUAUUGCCCAGUGAGCCGAAGCCUGAUGCAGCAGCGCCGCGUUCGGGAUGACGGCCUUCGGGUUGUAAACCGCUUUCGCCUGUGACGAAGCGUGAGUGACGGUAAUGGGUGAAGAAGCACCGGCUAACUACGUG